UUUCUUCGUUUCCAUUCUUUUUUUUUCUUUUCCUUUAAUUUUUAAUUUAAUUUAAUUUGUUUUAACAGAGAUAAACAAAAAAAAACAUAAAAAUGUUUAUAUGUUAGUAUUUUCUUUUAUUGUUCUUUUUAUUUUUUAUCUUAAUCUUUUUUUUUCAUUUUUAUCCCGGUUUAUAUAUUUAACGUAGCACCAUAGUAGCAGAUAACCAUGAGUGGUCUGGUGGAGAAGGGUAGUAUUAUAGUCUUGAGUGGGGUGGGUUCAAAACUCAUGUGUAGCAUUUUUUAGUAUUUUUCUUUUAGCAUUUUAUUUCCUUUUAGUAUUUUAUUUCUUUUAACAUUUUUUUUGUUAUGUUUAUGCUUCAUUAUUUUUCAUAGUUUCAUUAUCAUAGAUUUGUUGUCUAUUAAGUUCAUCAUGCAUGCAAAACCAUUUUUAAACUUAUAAAAAAUCAUAUUUUUCUCGAUUUAAUAUCGAGCCCAUUUUCACACCCUUGUAAGUCGAUUGCUUUUUA
rnacentral:lncRNA from 1 species